rnacentral:rRNA from 1 species
CGUACACUCCUACGGGAGGCAGCAGUGGGGAAUAUUGGACAAUGGGCGCAAGCCUGAUCCAGCCAUGCCGCGUGAGUGAUGAAGGCCCUAGGGUUGUAAAGCUCUUUCACCGGUGAAGAUAAUGACGGUAACCGGAGAAGAAGCCCCGGCUAACUUCGUGCCAGCAGCCGCGGUAAUACGAAGGGGGCUAGCGUUGUUCGGAUUUACUGGGCGUAAAGCGCACGUAGGCGGACUAUUAAGUCAGGGGUGAAAUCCCGGGGCUCAACCCCGGAACUGCCUUUGAUACUGGUAGUCUUGAGUUCGAGAGAGGUGAGUGGAAUUCCGAGUGUAGAGGUGAAAUUCGUAGAUAUUCGGAGGAACACCAGUGGCGAAGGCGGCUCACUAGCUCGAUACUGACGCUGAGGUGCGAAAGCGUGGGGAGCAAACAGGAUUAGAUACCCCGGUAGUCCCAU